CCCCAAAACCCCCCAAACCGGCAGAAUUAGGGCUUUUGUAGAUAUUUUUGCUUAUUUUCACUAUUUUCCGAAGUUUUAUUAGGGAAAACCCCGUCCUUGCUGGGUGCUGGAGGAGCCGGGGGUGUCCCCAUCCUGAGCGCACCGCAGGAGGCUGCAGCGUGGCCGGAGCCGGCAGAGGGGGGCUCUGCUUGUCCCCCCUCCAAGCCGUGGAGGGAGGAGCUGUGUUUUGUGGGCUGCAGAGGUGUCUGUGAAACACUAACAUCAAUCCUGCUGCUAUUUGGGAACAGGAAAAAAAGCCCUGUCACCCCCUCCCAUCCAGUACCCAGCCCUCAACUCUACAGAAGAUCCCAGCACUGGGGAAAGGUAAGCAGAGGAACCAGGCAGGAGCCUCACACAAAGGGAUGAGUUCAGAGAUAUAAAAAAAUAGAGAUAUUUAUUAGCGUUGAGUAAAGUGCAACCUCAGGAUGGUUUGAGACUCAGCAACUGUAUGAAUGGCACGAGAGAAGCUCAGAGAGGAAUAACAGCCUGAGCAGGGCUGUGCCAACAGGAUCCUGGGACUGUACAAAGGCUUUAGAAACAAUAUCAGAUAAAUUAUUUACAGUUCAAAUUGAUUACAGGAGGGUGAGGAUUCAUGAGCUGCUGCAGGCUGAGAGAAAGAACAGAGGCUGGGAUGGAACAUGGGCCCUGAGCUGGUGUGUCAGCAGUCUGGAAAUUCAGGGCAACAGUUGGGGACAGCUAGGAAUGUCCCUUGGCAUCAGGCUCUGAUUUGGGGUAGGAAGAUAUAGUGAGGUGAAGCCUUGCUCCUGCCUGGCUGGAACAGAAAUUCUUCAUGAUUUCCAAUGGUGAUAAGCAAGGAUGGCUUAAGAACCAGUAUCAGGUGCUGUACCUGGUUUUUCUGCUAAAAAUCAGAAGAUUUUUCCACACCUGACAAGACCUUAGCAGUCCCACAAAGCUGCCAACGUGCUGCUGGACAUACCACUGGCACCGGCUGCUGGUGGCCUUUCCUGGAGCUAUGGGUUGGCAAUGGGGUCCUCUCCGGGCAGAGAGAGACUCUGCCAAGUCUGUGGCCAGGAGGAAGUCCCACUGCUGGAGAUACCAGUGCCAACAGCUCCCCAUGGCACUGCCCUAGUAACUCCAGAUGGGAUCUGCUCCAUUUACAAAUAGGAGGAUUUCUCUUGCCAGUACCUUAAAAUUGCCAGGGAGACUGGAGCUGCAAAGUGUUCCUCCUACUUAAAAACAUCCAGAGCAAAGACUCCAGAGCUGAAACAGUUGCAGCCUCACUGUGCACGUGUGAGCUUGUGUGGUCCAGUCCCUCUCCCACCCCAGUGCCAUUUCUGACAAGAUUAGGAAGAAAUUCCUCCCUGUGAGGCUGGUGAGGCCCUGCCACACCAGCCCAGAGAAGCUGUGGCUGCCCCAUCCCCAUCCCUGGAAGUGUCCAAGGACAGGUUGUAUGGGGCUUGGGGCAGCCUGGGUUAGUGGAAAGUGUCCCUAUCCAUGACAGGGGGUUGAAACAAGAUGAGCUUUAAAAUGCCUUUCAACCCAGACCACUCCAUGGUUCUAUGAAAUGUUCAUCAAGGCACUAAAAGCUGCUCAGAGCAGCACCUUCAGGGGACACACCUUGGUCUGGCAGCCUGGUCUACCCCCAGUUAAUGCUGGAAGAAUUCUCAGGGUCUGAAUCAGGAAUUGUGCUCUGUCUGGAGACAGGCGGGAGCCACAUGAUCUUGAACCACUCUCUCCUCUGGCCAGCAGGAAUACAGAUCAAGUUUGCAGCUCAAGCCUGUUUCUGGUUCCUUCACUGACCUUUGCACACUGUGCAUGGGUGUCAGGGGCUGGAGCAGCUGCGGCUCCUCCCUCGGCUCAUUGGGAAAAGCACAGGGACUGCUGGUGUGAAUGGUGCUGCUGUGGAAGGCACAGCCCCUCACAGAAGGGGAAGAGGCUGCAUUGGCCAGGACACAGCCACGAAAGCACUGCAGAGCGCUCCUGCACACCUCAGAUCUGGCAAGACAGGGCUAUUGCUGCUCAAUCUUGACGUGGUCUCCGAUCAUCCAAUGCUGAUAUGUGGCCCGGAAGAUGUCGUUGUCUUGGGGACAGUCAUAGUGGCAGGAGCACAUCUUGAUGAACAUCAUUUUUCUCUUGAAGAAGUCCCCCUCGGGGCAGCGGAACUCCACGUCCACCGUGCUGGUCAGGAAUGGGGUGCAGCAGCGCCCGUCCGAGCAGCUGCCGCAGAACCGGGGCCGGUAGGAGCGGGUGCUGGUGCAUCCUGAAAACUCGAAGUGGAGGCUCUGGCGCUGCUUUGGGGUCUGCACACACUUCUUCCCCUUCUAGGGAGAAAGCAGAUGAAUUACCAUGGACAUGACAGGAAAGAUGCAUUGAGGCCUGUGCUCUGACCCCAUCACUGGGCAAUGGGACACAGAGGAAGUGGAAGCAUAGAGUCAGGAUCAUUCCCAAGGCUGUCCCCAGCAUUUGGGGUGCUGUGUCACCUAUCUUCCAGCACCGUACCUCACCAUACCUUGGUUUUCUCCAUGGAGAAGUCGCAGGGCCGGACCGUGCAGAGCCGGGUCUCCUUCUCCAGGCGGCACUGGGGAUUGUUGUUGGUCACACGGGUGGAGAUCCCCAUUCCACAGCUCCGGGAGCAUGUGCUCCACUCUGUGGUCUGCACCAGGCAGUUCUCCUGCAGGUUGUUCAGCUCUGGCCUGUGAGCUGGAUCCUUCCUGAAAACUGAGCCAUGAGGAAGAGACACAAGGCAAGGCUUAGGGCUUUGGACAAAGAGUGGCAGCUCCAUGGCUGCUCCCAACUCAGUUUAACACUUCAGGAACAUCAGCAAAUGUCUGGCCCAUCCCAUGAGAUGCUUGGCCUCUCAGCAGGAAGGGGAUGCAGGUGGGCAGGGGCCAUUUCCUACAUAGCCCGGCUCCAGACAGGUCUGCUGGGACACUUCAGGACACAGAAGCUUUCCCAUAGCACCACUGAGGUUUCACUUUGUAUCGGGUCUGGCUGAGCUGGAGUUGAUGUUCCCAGAGCAGCCAUUCCAGCGCUGUGCUCUGCAGUAGGAGCUGGAAAGGUGUUGGUAACACACCAGUGUUUUUGGCUACUGCUGGGCAGGGCUGGCACAGCAUCAGUGAUGUCUCUCCAACAUUCUCCCCCCAAUCAAGGGGCUGGGAGUGGGCAAGAUCCUAGGAGUGGACACAACCAAGACAGCUGACCCAAAUUCACCACAGGGAUAUUCCAGACUGUAUGAUGUCAGGUCAGAUAUAAAAGCUAAGAAAAGCAGGAGGAAGAGGGGGAGGGGGAAAUUGCUAUUCACAAUGCUUGCCUUCUGGUGCAACUGCUCCAUGUGCUGAAGUCCUGCUUCCUAGGAAGUGGCUGGACGCCAUUUGAUGAUGGGAAGUAAAGAAUAAAUCUAUUCUUUUUCUCUUUGCUUGUGCACAUGCAAACUUUCACUUUUCCUUUAAUAAACUGCCCUAUCUCAACCUACAA